GUGAAAAAUGCAAAAAACUUCACUUUUACUGGCGAUAUCAUUGUUGUAAUACAUUUUACUGUUUUGAAACACUAAUAUUUGUGUUCAGCGAAGUCUCCCGAGUAAAACAGUACCCCCAAUUUACAGGUUUUAUGGUGUCUUGGAAAGUUAUAGGGUCAAAUAUAGUGCUAGCAAAUUAAAUUCCCUAUACUUUCGGCAUGGGUUGUCAGGCAGGUCCCGCUAAUUGUAAUUAAUUAGGAUACCUAAUUAUGUAAAAAUAUUACAUAAAUAUAUGUGUAGAAUUAAUA
rnacentral:lncRNA from 1 species